UGGGGAAUAUUGCGCAAUGGGCGAAAGCCUGACGCAGCCACGCCGCGUGAGUGAUGAAGGCCUUCGGGUUGUAAAGCUCUGUCGGGAGGGACGAAAGGGGUCAAACCCUUGACGGUACCUCGCAAGAAAGCACCGGCUAACUCUGUGCCAGCAGCCGCGGUAAUACAGAGGGUGCAAGCGUUGCUCGGAUUUACUGGGCGUAAAGCGUACGCAGACGGCCACGCAGGUCGGGUGUGAAAGCCCCGGGCUCAACCCGGGAAUUGCAUUCGAAACCAUGUGGCUCGAGUAUGGGAGAGGGAAGUGGAAUUCCUGGUGUAGAGGUGAAAUUCGUAGAUAUCAGGAGGAACACCGGCGGCGAAGGCGGCUUCCUGGCCCAUAACUGACGUUCAGGGACGAAAGCGUGGGGAGCAAACAG
rnacentral:rRNA from 1 species